GGGGGAAAGAGGAAAGGGGGAGUGUGGCGGGGCGGGUGAUAAUGGGGAGGUAUCAGGGCAAAUAAUAGAGCAGGGGUUGGGCGAAGAGAGCGCCAGUGCGUAGCGACGAUUCUGGGAGAGGAGGUGCUCGGAGGAAAGGGCGGGGGUUGCUGAUGUAAUGGGGAGAAGUGAUUAAUCCUUCGGUUCGCCGUUUCAGCUUCCCCCCUACCCCAACCUUCACCCGAUUUUUUUGAACUGAAAAAAAAGUGGAACGAGGGAGCCAAUCUUUGGUAACUCGGGUUUUCUGUGGUAGGUGGGUUCAAAAUCUGAGCUGUAGGGAGCGCUAGAGAUUUCGUGCCCUUUAGCCAAGCUGAGGGUAUUUGCAAACCCUGAAGAUUUCCUUCUCCGAGCUUUGGGCUUGGUCCCACAAACUGCAAGGAAAAGAAAAACCCUCAAGAGGAAUUACCUUUAUACCUGAUGCCCCCAACAUAAUCUCUCUCCAAGGGAAACUUGUUUUUAUUGCCUUGCGGCUGUUACGAUGACUGAAAAUGUAUUCUGGAUUCUCCCCCUUCUCUCUUUUGUUUUGCAUUUUUUGGAUGUGGUAAAACUGGCAGUUUAUCUGAUUAUCUGGUUUUCAGAACUUUGGACGAUGUCUCUGAGUGUCAUCAGUUGCUGUCUAGGUUUGACAUAGAUAAUUAAGCAACUACAAAGCGUGAUAAAGCUUUUGAGAGGGAGGAAAGUGUAUUUUGGAAGGAGGGAGAGACGCAAAGAGGCGAGCCUGUGUGUUGAGUCCCAGACUUGGUGUGUGACUACAGGCAAAGUACUUCACCUUUCUAGAUGUCAGCCCCGCCCCCCUCACCUCCCAAGUUUAAAUAAGAACUUAUUUUAGACUACAUGAUCCUGUUUUCAAUUUUUAAGAGUUCUGUGAUUUUGAGAUGAUCUCUCUUUAGUCCAGAAAAAUGGAGGAAUGUAGGUCUAUGUUUGUUUCUCAAAAAAAUAUUUGAGGAGGACAGCUGUUACAAAACAGCUGGAGAACUCCAAAUUUUUAUGGUGGUUAGCUAGGUGCAAAUGGGUACAAUUUUAGGUUUGUUCAAAUAAACAUAGGGGAAAAGUAAAAGUACAGGAAAAUUACAUUAUACAUAUAAGUGUGUCCAUUUCUGAUUUUUCUAAAAAUUUACUUUUUGAUUUGACAAGUACUUUUUGGCUCCUUCCGUGUAUGCAUUAAUAUGUAUAUAAGGUGUUAUGGGAAGUACUAAUAAAAGGAAAAUAUUGGGCAUAAA